AAUAUAAUAUUCCUGCACCACCGAAAAACUAAACCUCAAUGACGCAGAAACGUAACGCGAUAAAUUAAUGGCUAAACAUUCGCGCCAAGUACGCUGCCAAGAAAAGUUGUGGGAAUGUUUUAGGUGUCCGUACCGCAAACCGACACAGGUAGAUGAGAAGAAUAUUCUAAGGCGCACGAGUGAGCCGUGGUUAAGGAACUCGGCAAAUUAACCCCGUAACUUCGGGAAAAGGGGUGCUAUCUUCGGAUAGCCGCAGUGAAACGAUCCAAGCGACUGUUUAACAAAAACACAUCUCUCUGCCAACACGUAAAGUGGAUGUAUAGGGAGUGACACCUGCCCGGUGCCGGAAGGUUAAGAGGAGAGGUCAGCGUAAGCGAAGCUUUGAAUUGAAGCCCCGGUAAACGGCGGCCGUAACAAUAACGGUCCUAUGGUAGCGAAAUUCCUUGUCGGGUAAGUUCCGACCUGCACGAAUGGUGUAACGAUUUGGAUACUGUCUCAACCACGGGCUCGGCGAAAUUGUGGUACCGGUGAAGACGCCGGUUACCCGCAUAUGGACGGAAAGACCCUAUGCACCUUUACUCUAGCUUAUUAUUGGGUCUGUCUGCAACAUGCGUAGGAUAGGUGGGAGACUGCGAAGAGGAGCUUGCGGGCUUCUUGGAGUCAAUGGUGAAAUACCACCCUUGUUGUAGUUGGAUUCUAACGCGGAGGAGUGGAUCCUCGCGGACAGUGGUAGGUGGGGAGUUUGACUGGGGCGGUCGCCUCCUAAAUUGUAACGGAGGCUUACAAAGGUUCCCUCAGCACGGUUGGUAAUCGUGCGUAGAGUGCAAAAGCAGAAGGGAGCUUGACUGUGAGACUGACAGGUCGAACAGGUGCGAAAGCAGGUUUUAGUGAUCCGGCGACUCUGCAUGGAAGGGUCGUCGCUCAAAGGAUAAAAGGUACGCUAGGGAUAACAGGCUGAUCUUGCCCAAGAGUCCACAUCGACGGCAAGGUUUGGCACCUCGAUGUCGGUUCAUCGCAUCCUGGGGCUGGAGAAGGUCCCAAGGGUUCGGCUGUUCGCCGAUUAAAGCGGUACGUGAACUGGGUUCAGAACGUCGCGAGACAGUUCGGUCCCUAUCCUAUGCGGGCGAAAGAUACUUGAGGGGACUCGUUGUUAGUACGAGAGGACCGCAAUGACUGGACCGACGGUGUAUCUGUUGUCACGCCAGUGGCACGGCAGAGUAGCCAUGUCCAGGAAGGAUAAGCGCUGAAAGCAUCUCAAGCGCGAAACCCACCCCAAGAUUAGGUAUCUCAUGGCUUAGCCAGUAAGAACCCAAGGAGAUGACUUGGUUGAUAGGCUCUAC
rnacentral:rRNA from 1 species